UGGGAUGAGAGAUACUACUAGAACCCUUUCAGAAAGCAAAAAGAUCAAUUCUUCCUCAAAUAACUCACUAUCUAUGGACAAUCUAAAUAUCAAUACAAGUAAGAGGCAGAACUGAUGUGAGACAUCUCAACCUCAUCAAGAUUAACAUAUGUAUAAUCGUUCCACCCAUUAUCAUGCCGAUCAUAACCUAAAGAAGGAUCAACAUUUCGCACCAUAAAGUUACUGAGCCAGGAAAGCAAAUUACCUGAUUAAACAGUUUUAUGAACUUAAAAUUUCAGGUUUUUGCCCAUUUUGAAGAGACCCUGUAGGGAAGAAGCAUUAAACCUAAAUACACAGCUUACCUCCAUAAUAGUACG
rnacentral:misc_RNA from 1 species